GACGAACGCUGGCGGCAGGCCUAACACAUGCAAGUCGAACGAAGUCUUCGGACUUAGUGGCGGACGGGUGAGUAACACGUGGGAACGUGCCUUUAGGUUCGGAAUAACUCAGGGAAACUUGUGCUAAUACCGAAUGUGCCCUUCGGGGGAAAGAUUUAUCGCCUUUAGAGCGGCCCGCGUCUGAUUAGCUAGUUGGUGAGGUAAAGGCUCACCAAGGCGACGAUCAGUAGCUGGUCCGAGAGGAUGAUCAGCCACAUUGGGACUGAGACACGGCCCAAACUCCUACGGGAGGCAGCAGUGGGGAAUCUUGCGCAAUGGGCGAAAGCCUGACGCAGCCAUGCCGCGUGAAUGAUGAAGGUCUUAGGAUUGUAAAAUUCCUUCACCGGGGACGAUAAUGACGGUACCCGGAGAAGAAGCCCCGGCCAACUUCGUGCCAGCAGCCGCCGUAAUAC
rnacentral:rRNA from 1 species